UACGUAGGGGGCAAGCGUUGUUCGGAAUGACUGGGCGUAAAGGGUGCGUAGGCGGUGUAGCAAGUUAGAAGUGAAAUACCUAGAGCUUAACUCAGGUGCUGCUUCUAAAACUGCUAUACUUGAGUGCAGUAGAGGAAAGUGGAAUUCCUAGUGUAGCGGUGGAAUGCGUAGAUAUUAGGAGGAACAUCAGUGGCGAAGGCGACUUUCUGGACUGUAACUGACGCUGAGGCACGAAGGUGUGGGGAGCAAACAGG
rnacentral:rRNA from 1 species